rnacentral:rRNA from 1 species
GGGAGGCAGCAGUAGGGAAUCUUCCGCAAUGGACGAAAGUCUGACGGAGCAACGCCGCGUGAGUGAAGAAGGUUUUCGGAUCGUAAAACUCUGUUGUGAGGGAAGAACAAGUACCAAUUAACUACUGGUACCUUGACGGUACCUCACCAGAAAGCCACGGCUAACUACGUGCCAGCAGCCGCGGUAAUACGUAGGUGGCAAGCGUUGUCCGGAAUUAUUGGGCGUAAAGCGCGCGCAGGCGGUCCUUUAAGUCUGAUGUGAAAGCCCACGGCUCAAC